rnacentral:rRNA from 1 species
GAGCACGUAGGUGGGUUUGUAAGCGGGAGAUGAAAUCCCAUGGCUCACCCAUGGAACUGUCCUCCGAACUGCAAGGCUUGAGGUUGAGAGGGGAGAAUGGAAUUCCCGGUGUAGCGGUGAAAUGCGUAGAUAUCGGGAGGAACGUCAGUGGCGAAAGCGAUUCUCUGGCUCGUCCCUGACACUGAGUGCGCGAGAGCUAGGGGAGCAAACAGGAUUAGAUACCCUGGUAGUCCUAGCUGUAAACGAUGGGCACUAAGUAGAGGGGUUUU